rnacentral:tRNA from 1 species
GUGUCCUUGGCCGAUCGGCAAAGGCGUCGGACUUCCAAUCCGAUCAGGCGGGUUCGAUUCCCGCAGGGCACUC